AACGCACAUUGCGCCCCCCCGUUACAGGGAGGCAUGCCUGUCUGAGCGUCAUUUAAACCCAUGCCACCAACGAGCUUUCGUUCGUCGGCGUGUUGGGCCCUCGUCGACCGUACGUCGACGUGGCCUCGAAUCCAUCGGUCGAGUUGAGCGGACGAGAUCCUCUGGGACAUGGACCGUUCACGUGACCCUAAAACGUUUGAGAUCUUGACCUCAGAUCAGGUAGGGACACCGCCUGAACUUAA
rnacentral:misc_RNA from 1 species